rnacentral:rRNA from 1 species
AGAGUUUGAUCCUGGCUCAGGACGAACGCUGGCGGCGUGCUUAACACAUGCAAGUCGAACGGAAAGGCCCUUCGGGGUACUCGAGUGGCGAACGGGUGAGUAACACGUGGGUGAUCUGCCCUGCACUCUGGGAUAAGCCUGGGAAACUGGGUCUAAUACCGGAUAGGACCACACACUUCAUGGUGAGUGGUGCAAAGCUUUUGCGGUGUGGGAUGAGCCCGCGGCCUAUCAGCUUGUUGGUGGGGUAAUGGCCCACCAAGGCGACGACGGGUAGCCGGCCUGAGAGGGUGACCGGCCACACUGGGACUGAGAUACGGCCCAGACUCCUACGGGAGGCAGCAGUGGGGAAUAUUGCACAAUGGGCGCAAGCCUGAUGCAGCGACGCCGCGUGAGGGAUGACGGCCUUCGGGUUGUAAACCUCUUUCAGUAGGGACGAAGCGAAAGUGACGGUACCUACAGAAGAAGGACCGGCCAACUACGUGCCAGCAGCCGCGGUAAUACGUAGGGUCCGAGCGUUGUCCGGAAUUACUGGGCGUAAAGAGCUCGUAGGUGGUUUGUCGCGUUGUUCGUGAAAACUCACAGCUUAACUGUGGGCGUGCGGGCGAUACGGGCAGACUAGAGUACUGCAGGGGAGACUGGAAUUCCUGGUGUAGCGGUGGAAUGCGCAGAUAUCAGGAGGAACACCGGUGGCGAAGGCGGGUCUCUGGGCAGUAACUGACGCUGAGGAGCGAAAGCGUGGGUAGCGAACAGGAUUAGAUACCCUGGUAGUCCACGCCGUAAACGGUGGGUACUAGGUGUGGGUUUCCUUCCUUGGGAUCCGUGCCGUAGCUAACGCAUUAAGUACCCCGCCUGGGGAGUACGGUCGCAAGACUAAAACUCAAAGGAAUUGACGGGGGCCCGCACAAGCGGCGGAGCAUGUGGAUUAAUUCGAUGCAACGCGAAGAACCUUACCUGGGUUUGACAUGCACAGGACGUACCUAGAGAUAGGUAUUCCCUUGUGGCCUGUGUGCAGGUGGUGCAUGGCUGUCGUCAGCUCGUGUCGUGAGAUGUUGGGUUAAGUCCCGCAACGAGCGCAACCCUUGUCCUAUGUUGCCAGCGGGUAAUGCCGGGGACUCGUAGGAGACUGCCGGGGUCAACUCGGAGGAAGGUGGGGAUGACGUCAAGUCAUCAUGCCCCUUAUGUCCAGGGCUUCACACAUGCUACAAUGGCCAGUACAGAGGGCUGCGAAGCCGCAAGGUGGAGCGAAUCCCUUAAAGCUGGUCUCAGUUCGGAUUGGGGUCUGCAACUCGACCCCAUGAAGUCGGAGUCGCUAGUAAUCGCAGAUCAGCAACGCUGCGGUGAAUACGUUCCCGGGCCUUGUACACACCGCCCGUCACGUCAUGAAAGUCGGUAACACCCGAAGCCAGUGGCCUAACCUUUUGGAGGGAGCUGUCGAAGGUGGGAUCGGCGAUUGGGACGAAGUCGUAACAAGGUAGCCGUA